GACGAACGCUGGCGGCGUGCCUAACACAUGCAAGUCGAACGGAGAUAUGAUUUCGGUUGUAUCUUAGUGGCGAACGGGUGAGUAACGCGUGAGCAACCUGACUCUUAGAGGGGGAUAACACUCGGAAACGGGUGCUAAUACCGCAUAAGACCACGACAUGGCAUCAUGACGAGGUCAAAGGAGCAAUCCGCUGAGAGAGGGGCUCGCGUCCCAUUAGAUAGAUGGCGGGGUAACGGCCCACCAUGUCAACGAUGGGUAGCCGAGGUGAGAGGCUGAUCGGCCACACUGGAACUGAGACACGGUCCAGACUCCUACGGGAGGCAGCAGUGGGGAAUAUUGGGCAAUGGGCGCAAGCCUGACCCAGCAACGCCGCGUGAGGGAAGAAGGCUUUCGGGUUGUAAACCUCUGUCCUUGGUGACGAAAAAAAUGACGGUAGCCAAGGAGGAAGCCCCGGCUAACUACGUGCCAGCAGCCGCCGUAA
rnacentral:rRNA from 1 species